rnacentral:rRNA from 1 species
UACGUAGGGGGCAAGCGUUGUCCGGAAUUAUUGGGCGUAAAGAGCUCGUAGGCGGUUUGUUGCGUCGGCUGUGAAAUCCCGAGGCUCAACCUCGGGUCUGCAGUCGAUACGAGCAAACUAGAGUGUUGCAGGGGAGACUGGAAUUCCUGGUGUAGCGGUGAAAUGCGCAGAUAUCAGGAGGAACACCGGUGGCGAAGGCGGGUCUCUGGGCCGAUACUGACGCUGAGAAGCGAAAGCGUGGGGAGCGAACAGG